rnacentral:rRNA from 1 species
GACGUAGGGUGCGAGCGUUGUCCGGAUUUAUUGGGCGUAAAGAGCUCGUAGGCGGCUCGUCGCGUCGACCGUGAAAACCCGCGGCUUAACUGCGGGCUUGCGGUUGAUACGGGCGGGCUAGAGUUCGGUAGGGGAGACUGGAAUUCCUGGUGUAGCGGUGAAAUGCGCAGAUAUCAAGAGGAACACCGGUGGCGAAGGCGGGUCUCUGGGCCGAUACUGACGCUGAGGAGCGAAAGCGUGGGGAGCGAACAGG